UAUUGAAGUUGAGGUGUGUCAAAACAAGAUAAAAUGGCGAAUAGUUGAAUGUAAACAGUUAUAUCAAAAACAUUAUAUUUAUAGCUAUUGCUAUUAAAUUCUCAUUAGGUAUGUCCCUUAAAUUUAUCAGAGUAUUCGUUAGUUCAUUGAGGCAGCAUCUACCACGACAGAACAAUUUAUUAUCAGGUUUUCAAAUACGAACUAUAACAGCAAUGGAGGUUGCGCCUGUUGAUAAAAAGGACAAUUUAGUUCAGGAUAAAAAUCGCACUAGGUAUAAACGAAGGCGACAAUGGGACGAUAGAAAAGAAAAUGGUGAGAGUCAAGAGAAAAAAACAUGCGAUAAACCUUUCGAGAGAAUUAAAAGAAAAAAAAUGGCCAUGCUACUCGGCUAUUGCGGAGUUGAUUAUUAUGGUAUGCAAAGGAACCCCGGGGUUCCGACUAUUGAAGAGGAUCUCCUAAAAGCUUUAUAUGAAGCGAAAUAUAUCACGGAAGAUGAUUUUAACAACCAGCAGAAUGCACAGUUCCAAAGAAGUUCUAGGACCGACAAGGGUGUCUCAGCGGCUAGGCAGGUGGUGUCACUUAAACUACCUCUAGAAGUAAGCGUAGACGAAAUAAACAGUAGGUUACCAGAUUGCAUCAAAGUUUUUGGUAUAAAAAGAGCAACAAAUAAAUUUAACUCAAAAUCUAAAUGCAAUGCCAGAACAUACAGCUACACGCUACCUACUUACGUGUUUGAGUCAAAUGUCGCAUCGGAAGAUGAGAGGAAAGCAUACAGAAUCACGUCUCAGAAGAUAGCUCAAGUCAAUGAAGUGCUUGGUUACUAUAAGGGCACAAAGAGUUAUCAUAACUUCACCGAGAAAAAACAUUUCCAAGAUCCGUCAUCUCUGAGGUACAUGAUGAGUUUUGUAUUGGAGAGGGUCUUCAUGGAGUCGGAAAUGGAGUUCGCGGAAUUGCUAGUUAAAGGACAAAGUUUCAUGUUGCAUCAAAUAAGAAAGAUGAUAGGGCUGAUGAUCGCUGUAGUUAGAGGUCAUACAGACAUUUCUACGUUGGAGAAGUCGUUUGGCAAAGAAAAGGUCAUGAUACCAACAGCGCCUGGCCUGGGAUUGGUUCUCGAUAAGGUACAUUACGAGAGAUAUGACGCCAAAUUCAAAGACAGCCACGAAAGCUUAACCUGGGACGAAGAGGAAGAUGCAGUGGAGAAAUUCAAACGAGAAAAAAUAUUCCCUAACAUUGUUAAAGGUGAAUUGGAAUCAAAUUCGAUGGGAUUGUGGCUCGAGAAGAUGAAGAAUCAUUCUUAUGAACCAUCUGAAGAUGCUAAUGAUGAAAGAGUUAAAGACGAAGAGAAAGAUUGUGGUGAUGAUGAUGGUGAUGAUGAAAUAAAAGAUGAUGAUGACGAUGAGGUUGAGGUUAAAGACCUUGGGAAUAAAGUAGAAGAUGCUAGUGACGCUGAAGUAAAAGAUAAUGGUGAUGAAGUAAAAGAUAAUGGUGAUGAAGUAAAAGAUAAAAGUGAUGUUAGUGAAAUAGAAGCUAAGAAGGUGAACGUGUAAAUAGUGUUCCACUUAUAAUAAGCAUAAUUUACAUCCCAGAUACGCAAGUUAUUGAAAAUAAAUAACCCUAUCGUGACGACGCGAGUAUUGGUCGCUAUCGAGGAGUACCCUACAUCCCACCAACAAAUGCCUAGCAGGUCCAACUGCCUUCCCACAGAUAUAGGAAGUCUUUUCGGUACCUUUACCCCAUCUUACUAAAUUACUCUGAUCUGGGAGAGUCAUCUGGAACGCAUUGAGAUAGAAUUUUUGCAAUGCUGGCGACCAAUCAUGGAUUAAGGUGCGCCAUUUUAGUGCUAAUGGGAUGCAAAAAUCUCCUAUGUCUAACCACUCGUUCUGCAUUUCUAAACUUAUUGCAUGGAU